AGUGGUCUAGGCAACUGGUAUACUGUUUUAUCUUAUGAUGCAUUAGUCCGGCUCUGCCUUCACUUGUGGCAAGGAGCUGUAUGGAAGCUCCUCCCUUUUUGGAAAAUGAAUGUUCACUGUUGAGGGAUGCAUUUAGUUUCAGAUGUAUAAAAUUAUGAAGAAGCACAAGAUGCCAUAGGUUCUUAGUGAAGGUCUAUCAUCGAUGGUUUUUGCAGUGGACGACUUUGGUACUUCUCAUAUUAAGGAUUUAAUUGACUUUUACAAGGACGUCUGAUUACAAGCUAGUGCAGCUAUAUCUUGUAAUGUAACGGUUAAACUAAUUGGUGUUCUUCAUAAGUUUGUUGGUCCAGG